UUGGCUCGCCAGCAUCGAGGUUGCCCGAUGUACACGGUCAAGGAGCUGCCCAUAGCUGAUCUGUCUGCCCUGAUACUCGAUCGCGACCGAAGAUUUGUGGAUCAGCGCUCUCGCGCGAAACAGCUCGCCAAUCGUGGGACUGGCGCCCGCCCUCGUUGUCAGAGCUUUUUCGUGCCCGUCUGUCACGGCAAAUCCUCCGAAUCUU
rnacentral:misc_RNA from 1 species